GUUGGGAAAUUCUACUCACAACUAGUGAUAGGUUGUUUCAAUAAUAAAGUUGUAAUAAAAGUUUACCAACUAAAAAGCUCACCUGCAGUCAAACAGUGUCAGCUUUUCUUUUGAUUAAGCCUUGCAUGUCAUUAUACUUUCCGCCUGUACUUGUUGAGUUUGACAUGAACUCACCCUUGCUAUUUCCCCCACACCCCCAGUGUGUAGUAAAGUGCUGCUCAGAAGAAGGAUAAAGAUGUCAUGAAGUUUUCUACAAGUAUAUCAAAAGUGCUUGGCAUACAAAGCCCCCAAUCAGCCGUCCCUGAGAAGAAUGGAGCCUAAGAAGUUUAGCUACUGUUUUCGUGUACUCUUAUAGUUGUAAGUGUUAUUAUAAAUAUGUUUUCUGCUAUAUAUAACAUUGUUUCUGAUAUUUUUAUUCUUUUGUUAUAUGUGUGGACUUUGUGGGCACACAUAUGAAGACUCUGGCCUUGUUUUGAAAACCAGGGUGUGACAGUGCCAAGUUGUGCCCGGAUGCUAAUCUAAUAAGGGAUAUCAUUCCAGCUUGUAUUAGUGUCCUUGUAGCCAAUGAUUUGGCAUCAAGUUCUGAGUAAUGGAGACCACUUCUAUGUUAAAAAAAUUUAUCGAGCCAAUAAUUUGAUUGACAAUCAAAAGUAGAUAAAAGUUGGCAAGAAAUAUUUACUACUGAUCUUAUACUCUUAGAUAAGUCUCAAUGAUGUUUCAUCAUAUUUUUAUGGGCAUUAAAUAUGUUGAUAUAACACUAUAGUAAUAAAUAGAGAGGUGAUAAAAGUUUCAUGUGAAUAGAGAGAGUUUCACGGAGAUAAAACUCUUCUACACUAUUUUCAAAAUAUGGAUGUAUUGAAAAUUGGGUCAAUAAAUCCCCACUACCUAUUUUUCUCUACAAACUAUCCAACUAGGCAAUCCAUUAUCACACAUAAUUAAAAUCAACUAGCUCAUGCAACUAAUGUCCACGUCAGUAAGUCACAUAUUUUUAUGAAUAUGCAAGUUGUCCAACUAGACAAUACACAUUCUAAUCUAUUUAUAUUUCUUCUUUAUACCCGCGGCAACGCGCGGAAAAUCCUCCUAAUUUAUUAAGUUUAACAUGACAUAUUGGUAAAUUUGGCAAAAACAAAUAGCUCGUUGAAGCUUUAACCACCCAAAAAUUAGCUAUCAAGCAAUCAGGCUCCUAGCUCUCUCCCACAAUUUUUUUUUUCUCGGCAGCAUUGUGCCUGAUUUGUAGUGAGUCCUAUAUGUCUAUAUGUCUGUCUAUGCGGUUUUCUUCUUUUUUUUUCUUCUUCUUCUUUUUCAUAAUAACAUAUUGAUUUUUUUUAUAUAUAUACUAUGAACAUUUUUUUAAAUUCAGAAAUUUGUCUGAAACAAGUUCAGUAAAAGAAAUUGUUAGACGACAAACUACUUAGGUUAUGUUAUUCGUAUAAUUUGCUAGAUAAAUGUUGCACUUCAAAUUUUAUAUAGAAGCCAAAAUGUUAGGAUAAGUUGGGUUAUAAGUGUCUACUAGGUUAUGUUAUUUGUAAAAUUUGGACUACAAAUUGUUUAUAUAUAGACAAAAUUGUUAGGAUAAAAUGGGUUAUAAAUGUCCUGUAGAAAAGUUGUCACGGUACGUUAUCAAUAAAACUGUGAAAAAACUAAGUUAUGAUAAUAGUUUUGUUCUACAAAAUUUUAUAUAAGUUGUGAGUAUAACCUUACAAUUUUCUAAAAAAAUGUUAUGGUGGUAGCUUUGUUUUGCAAAAUUUAUAUACAUAAGUUAUCGAGUAUAAGUUUAUAAUUUUUUGUAAAAAAAAUAUGGUGUGAUAGUUUACAUGUUUGGCAAAAUAUUAUACACAAUACAGAAAAUAUGCACUUAUAAUUUGUAACUUCUCAAAAAUAGGAAGUUGUGAAAACAAACUCCUUUUCUACCAAAGAAAAGAAGCAAGAAGGUUUGUGCAUGAAAACAAGCGGUAGCCGACAAUGAGCUACCAAUCGAUGCAAAUUUAGACGGCACAUUUUCGAAUGCGAUGCAAAUUCAUUUCAGACACCUACAUAUGCGUUGAUCGUCCAAAUAAAGAAAGAUCAACCGUAGAACAAUGUACAGCGCAGGUUGUCACACAUUACAUAUUACAGAUACAAAAUUAUUUAGGCCUUGUUUAGAUCUAUUUUUUUAAUUUAACUACAGUAACACUUUUAUUUGUAUUUAACAAUUAUUAUCUAAUCAUAGACAAACUAAGUUCAAAAGAUUCAUCUCAUAAAUUACAGGUAAACUGUGCAAUUAGUUUUUUUAUCUAUAUUUAAUACUUCAUGUAUUUGUUUAAAGAUUCGAUAUAAUGAGGAAUCUUGUAAACUUUUGGAAUUUUGAAGGCAUGGCCUUAAGCAAGCUGAUGAUGAAAUAUACAUAAUGUACGUACUAUAACUGUACAAACAAUCACAUCAAGAACAUUAGAGUUUGUUAUUAAAAAUUGAAGGGUCGAGAUGACAGACUAGAGGGAGGGUGAAUAGUCCUUUGUAAAACUUAUCUCGCCCACUAACCAAAACUAAUGCGAAAUUAAAACUAACGAUCUAGCCAAGACUUCACCCCUUUAUAUAAGUUCUCUAAUACCUUGUAAAAUAUCCUAAACACAAGAAAACAAGAUCUAGGAGCAAGGUCACACAAACCUACUCCCUCAAUCCCAAAUUAUAAGUUAUUCCAAGAAUCUUGGGAGAGUUGUCGGUGUUUGGACUAGCGGUCCUAGCACCAACUAGUAAAUUUAUAUCUGCGUACCUUUGAUCCGGAUGGUGUACAAGAAGAACACAAGCAAUUUAUAUUGGUUCAAGGAGUGCCCUACAUCCAGUGAAAGAGAGUGGUCUGGUAUUAUCUUGCAUUGAAGUGCUUGUAGUGGGGGUUACAAGCUGGGUGAGAGAGUGGCUCCCAUGCACUGAAGUGCUUGUAGUAGGGGUUACAAGCUACGUGAGAGAGAGUGGCUCCUAGGUCUCAGAGUGGAGUGUAGUGGGUGAACUUGAGCGUGCUCGUUGUUCUGUAUAGUGUUGUUGUGUUGUCUCGUGUCCUAGAAUUGGACCUUAUCCUCUUCUUUUAUAGUUGUACGGAGAGCAUGCAUCAUGCCGUUUCUGUUGGAUCCGAGGCCGGGCGGAGGUACAACGCAGUACUAUAAAGGGAUGGCAUCCAUCCUUUGGCUCUUGUAGUCAUUCGUGAUAGUAGUGCAGGGGCCUAUGACUUUCCUACAACCAGCCAUAAAACCUUUCUUGUAAGCAUCAAAACACACAUAGAUUCUAUCAAACACUUUCCUAUCCUCUAUUUGUGGAUCCAAGCAUACUACAACAGUGCUGUCGGGAUUGGUCCUCAAUAGCUCUAGUUGGUAGUCAAAUACCCUGGUAUACUCUCCCUUCAUACCAUCUAGAGCUUUCUGCAACACAAGACCUUUUGCUCUCUUACACUUUGAAAUAGACACAUCUGCAAGGAAGUCUUUCUGAACUCUGCUUUGUAUCUGACCUACCUUCCAUGUUGGGUUGUCCUUGAUUUCUUGAUAAUAAUGCUUGGCAAUCAAACUAGAUGUCACAAGCUUGUUAUCCCUUCUUGGAGCACAUGUGUGAUUAUCAUCAAAGGUGACCACCUUGAACUACUCUGAUCUAGUACUUUUGGAGCCAUAUAUCAUCCACUUGCAUGCUAGCCAAGUGCAAAAUGCCCUAACCUUGUCAAACCUCAGAUGCCUAUGUGUCUUCAAACCAUAUUUGACUAGUGCCUUCUUAAACUAUUUUUUGUCCCUAAAUGCCAUACCAAGAAAGAACACAGGAAUAGGAGCCUUACUGUCAUACCUAUUCUCCAAGCUCUUCCACCUCUCUGUCUCACCAUCACUGUUCUCUCCAUAGGAGUACUCUUCACUUGAAUCCAUGUA
rnacentral:lncRNA from 1 species